ensembl:lncRNA
AUGUCAGCAGUCCUCCCUGUUGUGAUAGAUUGCAUAGGAUGCUGCUUCCGGAUCCAAAGGAACAAUCGACAGACGUCACAAAGAUCCACCUCUGGCUGCAUCAGAAAAUUAUGCUCCUGGCGCCACCAGCGAGUGCACCCCGCUAAUGGGUCGGGGACAGAAGAAACCCCGGGCUCCCAUGAAAGGCUGCCCAGCACCGCAGGAGGAAUAGAGGCUCCAAGUGGCUGCACAAUGCCGGCCGAUGACGCAACUAAUAAUAAUGGCAUGGCUUUGGAGCGCCCCACUCCAGUGACAAACAAUCGGGGUGAAGAAGAAGAAGAUUGCAUAGGAUGCUGCUUCCGGAUCCAAAGGAACAAUCGACAGACGUCACAAAGAUCCACCUCUGGCUGCAUCAGAAAAUUAUGCUCCUGGCGCCACCAGCGAGUGCACCCCGCUAAUGGGUCGGGGACAGGUACGUGGAGAUUUUCUCCUUCGGUGCAUGCAAGAAUAAUUUUUCUUUAGGGUCCCCUGUAUACGAAUGAACUCGGAAGUAUUUUGUGGUAUCCUUUGUGCGUGCGUGCGUGCGUGCGUGUGUGUCCAAGUUGAAACAUACUUAGUCAGGUGGUAGUGUUUAUAUACCUGUGGAAAUAAAACGACUUUGAAAUCUCA